rnacentral:rRNA from 1 species
AUUGAACGCUGGCGGCAUGCUUUACACAUGCAAGUCGAACGGUAACAGGGAGCUUGCUCCGCUGACGAGUGGCGAACGGGUGAGUAAUGCGUCGGAACGUGCCGAGUAGUGGGGGAUAACGCAUCGAAAGGUGUGCUAAUACCGCAUACGUACUGAGGUAGAAAGUGGGGGACCUUCGGGCCUCACGCUAUUCGAGCGGCCGACGUCUGAUUAGCUAGUAGGUGAGGUAAAGGCUCACCUAGGCGACGAUCAGUAGCGGGUCUGAGAGGAUGAUCCGCCACACUGGGACUGAGACACGGCCCAGACUCCUACGGGAGGCAGCAGUGGGGAAUUUUGGACAAUGGGCGAAAGCCUGAUCCAGCCAUGCCGCGUGUCUGAAGAAGGCCUUCGGGUUGUAAAGGACUUUUGUCAGGGAGGAAAUCCCUAGUGCUAAUAACACUGGGGGAUGACAGUACCUGAAGAAUAAGCACCGGCUAACUACGUGCCAGCCGCCGCCGUAACAC